UCUCAUGUCUCGGCCUCUUGCGGGGUUUUAGUGAGCCGCCUCUUCCUGAGGCAGCUUCCCAAGACUCACCCACCGUCGAACUGGACUCCAUUUUGCAAGAGCUGAUGAGCCUGGGAUCAGAGAACGCGGCAUCGUCACAACUUUUACCAGAGCGGUCUGUUGAGAAGAAACCAAAAGACGGUCAACGGGAUUUCGAUGCAAAGGCUUCAGCCGGGAGCAAAGAUACGGACAGUAUCGAUGAUCUUCUCGGAGGGCUGAGCACUGACUUGGAAAAGAUUGGAGUCCACACAGCAGCCAAGGGCCGCUGCGCUGCCUGUAAUAAAGUGAUUGUGGGCAAGGUA